rnacentral:rRNA from 1 species
UGAGUAACGCGUGGGUAACCUGCCUCAUACAGGGGGAUAACAGUCAGAAAUGGCUGCUAAUACCGCAUAAGCGCACAGAGCUGCAUGGCUCAGUGUGAAAAACUCCGGUGGUAUAAGAUGGACCCGCGUUGGAUUAGCUUGUUGGCAGGGUAACGGCCUACCAAGGCGACGAUCCAUAGCCGGCCUGAGAGGGUGAACGGCCACAUUGGGACUGAGACACGGCCCAGACUCCUACGGGAGGCAGCAUG